rnacentral:tRNA from 2 species
GCUGAGGUGCUGGAGUGGUUUAACAGAAUGGGUUGCUAACCCAUGCCUUUCGGGGCUCGCAGGUUCGAAUCCUGUUCUCAGCG